UUGCGCCUGUGGUCUUGGCCCUGGAGGUGGAGCGCUUUGGCUUAUAAAUGCCACAAAUCAAUAAACAGUACAAGUCAGAAUUGAGGCCCUUUUGAACUUCAGCUGACCUCAACUCCCAGCCAGUUAGUCACGAGGAUACAUGCCCAGAGAGCUGAUUCCGGGAGAGAAAACUUCCAUACGGCAUUUGGUCAACUACCUUGAAGCAGGGAGCUUACGUCUGGAAGAGGUGCGGCCACGGAUGCGGAGGACCCCGGCUCAGCCUCCAUCCAACACCAGCUGUGAAGGAAAGACAACCUUGUGUCCAGACGUUCAGAGAGUCUGCUCUGAGUGACUUUAUCAAGCAAGGGGUGGAUGAAGCACCUAAAGGGACAGAGAGCUGGGGCUUCCUUCAGCCUAGAGAACAGGUUCCAGAAAUGGUUCCAUUCUUGCUUGCUAAUAAACUUUUGCUUAAUAAAUAUC